rnacentral:rRNA from 1 species
AUGCACGCUGGCGGCGUGCCUAAUACAUGCCAGUCGCGCGAACAGACGAGGAGCUUGCUCCUCUGACGUUAGCGGCGGACGGGUGAGUAACACGUGGAUAACCUACCUAUAAGACUGGGAUAACUUCGGGAAACCGGAGCUAAUACCGGAUAAUAUAUUGAACCGCAUGGUUCAAUAGUGAAAGACGGUUUUGCUGUCACUUAUAGAUGGAUCCGCGCCGCAUUAGCUAGUUGGUAAGGUAACGGCUUACCAAGGCGACGAUGCGUAGCCGACCUGAGAGGGUGAUCGGCCACACUGGAACUGAGACACGGUCCAGACUCCUACGGGAGGCAGCAGUAGGGAAUCUUCCGCAAUGGGCGAAAGCCUGACGGAGCAACGCCGCGUGAGUGAUGAAGGUCUUCGGAUCGUAAAACUCUGUUAUUAGGGAAGAACAAAUGUGUAAGUAACUAUGCACGUCUUGACGGUACCUAAUCAGAAAGCCACGGCUAACUACGUG